CCUACGGGUGGCAGCAGUGGGGGAUAUUGCACAAUGGGGGCAACCCUGAUGCAGCGACGCCGCGUGAGCGAUGGAGUACUUCGGUAUGUAAAGCUCUGUCAGCAGGGAAGAGAAUGACGGUACCUGACCAAGAAGCCCCGUCUAAAUACGUGCCAGCAGCCGCGGUGAUACGUAUGGGGCAAGCGUUAGCCGGAUUUACUGGGUGUGAAGGGAGCGUAGGCGGCAGGGCAAGCCUGAUGGGAAAGCCCGGGGCGCAACCCCGGGACUGCAUUGGGAACUGCCCCGCUCGAGUGCCGGAGGGGCAGAGGGAAUUCCUAGUGGAGCGGUGAAAUGCGGAGAUAUUAGGAGGGACACCAGUGGCGAAGGCGGGCUGCUGGACGGUGUACUGACGCUGAGGCUCGAAAGCGUGGGGAGCAAACAGGAUUAGAUACCCGGGUAGUC
rnacentral:rRNA from 1 species